rnacentral:rRNA from 1 species
GACGAACGCUGGCGGCGUGCUUAACACAUGCCAGUCGAACGGAAAGGCCUCUUUCGGGGGGUACUCGAGUGGCGAACGGGUGAGUAACACGUGAGUAACCUGCCCUUUACUUUUUGAUAACUUCAGGAAACUGGGGCUAAUACCGGAUAGGAGCUCCUGCUUCAUGGUGGGGAUUGGAAAGUUUCGGCGGUUGGGGAUGGACUCGCGGCUUAUCAGCUUGUUGGUGGGGUAGUGGCUUACCAAGGCUUUGGCGGGUAGCCGGCCUGAGAGGGUGACCGGCCACAUUGGGACUGAGAUACGGCCCAGACUCCUACGGGAGGCAGCAGUGGGGAAUAUUGAACAAUGGGUGGAAGCCUGAUGCAGCAACGCCGUGUGCGGGAUGACGGACUUCGGGUUGUAAACCGCUUUCGCUCAUGACGAAGCUUUGUGUGACGGUAGUGGGUAAAGAAGCACCGGCUAACUACGUG